AUGGCCUCCGCCGGCGAGCACACGGUGCCCCUGCUCGCCCGACUUCCAGCCGAGGCGGCGGAGGCGUACACCACCGACGGGUCCCUCGACUUCAACGGGAACCCGGCGCUCAAGAAUCGCACGGGUGGAUGGCGCGCGUGCCGCUCAGUUCUCGGCACCGAGUUCUGCUACUGCCUGGCCUUCUACGGCAUCUCCUACAACCUCGUCACGUACCUCACCGGCGUCCUGGGCCAGAGCAACGUCGCCGCGGCGAGGAACGUGUCCACCUGGCAGGCCACCUGCUUCCUCAUGCCCCUCGGCGGCGCCGUCGUGGCCGACUCCUACUGCGGAAGGUACCGCACCAUGGUCGUCUCCUGCUUCGUCGGCGUCGCAGGCAUGCUGAUGACAGCAUUCUCGGCGUACCUCCCGCUGCUCGUCGAGAACGGCGUGUCCAUCAGAGGCCUCACCUCGUCCAACAUGGUGUCGGUUCAGGAGUUCGUCUUGUUUCUCGGCCUGUACAUGAUUGCCGUUGGGCUGGGCGGACUCCGACCGUGCCUCAUGUCCUUCGGCGCCGACCAGUUCGACGACGGCGACCCAUCGGAGCGCCUGACCAAGGGCUCCUUCUUCAACUGGUACGUGUUCAACAUGAGCUGCACGUCGCUGAUAUCCAGCACCGGCAUCGUGUGGGUGCAAGAUCAUUACGGCUGGGCGCUGGGCCUGACCGUCCCGGCGGUCGUCCUGGCCGUCGGGCUUUCUUGCCUGGUCGCGGCGUCACGGACCUACAGGUUUCAACGGACUCGCGGCAGCCCGCUCACCAGAGUGUGCCAGGUCGUGGUUGCUGCCGUGAGAAAGUGCGGCGUCGAGCUGCCGGCCGACAGCUCUCUGCUCUACGACAUGCCGGAAGAUGACCUCGCCAUGAAGGGUGUCGAGAGGAUCGAACACACCACUGAUCUCCGAUUCUUCGAUAAGGCCACCAUUGUCGUGGCCUCUGACAAGGAGGUGGAGGCAGCAGCCGUGCCGGUGCCGCGCAGCCCGUGGAGGCUCUGCAUCGUGACGCAGGUCGAGGAGCUCAAGAUUCUCGUGCGGAUGCUGCCGCUCUAG
rnacentral:rRNA from 1 species